CAGCUAAACUAAACUAAGGGCUGGCUUCCAGUAAAAGCAGGAGGUGUCAGUCCCUCUCUCGCCUACUCUGUUCCUUCCUCCCCUUGCCUCUGCUCCCAGCUGCUUGAUCUUUUCCUCCUUUGCGUCACUCUGAUACUCAUCUGAUCACACGAUCCUGAAUUUCCUGAAACAUCUGUUCUCUUCAACCUUCAGCUCCUUGCAGGGUGAAAAUAGGCUUUAUCUUGGAGAAGAGAGAAGACUAAAAAGCCAGAAGAUCCUGUAAUCAGUGGAAGUUUCUAUCAUUGGACCAAAUGUAAAAUAUUAUACAAAGCAGUAUGAGGGCUGCUCUAACUUUAGCCCACUGUCUGACCCCUUGUGCCCUUCUGAAAAUUUCCUGAUCCAUCAUCUUUUCUUCCGACUGUUCUCUUCUCCAUCAGCCUCAAGGAUGGGGAUAUUACAGGAGAGGCUCCGUUGACCCUGUCAAGCUGAGGAUCCUUUACAUACCUACAUAUACAUGUAGGUAAAUAUGCUGCUGCAUAUUGUGAUUUAAAUGAUCAUGUGCUUGAAGGUCUGUACUUCCAGAUGUUUGGACAGAUGCUGUUGGCAAGGAAUAUGCAGUCACAUACCUGGAACUCUAUAUUGUUAAUUUAUACUAAUACAGAGAUGAUUAAUGCAAUGUCCUGGGUAGAGGUAGAUUGUCUAUAGUACCAAUUUGGAUGUGAAAAGUUGUUCAGUAAUGCUUGCUCAUUAAUGUUAGCUAGGUUGUCAAUUAAAUCUUAGAUCUUCACCGAAUGUGUUGCUUUGGUCCUGGCAGGUAUUGAGAUUAAAAUCUAACUAAUGCGA